CUUUCAGUAGGGACGAAAAUGACGGUACCUGCAGAAGAAGCUCCGGCCAACUACGUGCCAGCAGCCGCGGUUAUACGUAGGGAGCAAGCGUUGUCCGGAAUUACUGGGCGUAAAGGGCUCGUAGGUGGUUGAGUAAGUCAGAUGUGAAAUCUCAGGGCCCAACCCUGAGCCUGCAUUUGAUACUGCUCUGACUAGAGUCCGGUAGGGGAGUGCGGAACUCCUGGUGUAGCGGUGAAAUGCGCAGAUAACAGGAAGAACACCGACAGCGAAGGUAGCACUCUGG
rnacentral:rRNA from 2 species